rnacentral:rRNA from 1 species
GGCUGCAACUCGCCUACACGAAGCUGGAAUCGCUAGUAAUCGCGGAUCAGCACGCCGCGGCGAAUACGUUCCCGGGCCUUGUACACACCGCCCGUCACACCAUGAGAGUCUGUAACACCCAAAGCCGGUGGGAUAACCUUUAUAGGAGUCAGCCGUCUAAGGUAGGACAGAUGAUUAGGGUGAAGUCGUAACAAGGUAAC